AGUGAACGCUGGCGGCGUGGUUUAGACAUGCAAGUCGAGCGAGAAACUUUUCGAAGUGGAUAGCGGCAAACGGGUGCGUAACACGUGAGUAACCUGCCCUUAAGUUGGGGAUAGCCUACCGAAAGGUGGAUUAAUACCGAAUGUGGUCUUUCUUCGCAUGAAGAAAGUACUAAAGCUUGUAAUGGCGCUUAAGGAGGGGCUCGCGGCCUAUCAGCUUGUUGGUGAGGUAAAAGCUCACCAAGGCAAAGACGGGUAGCCGGUCUGAGAGGAUGGUCGGCCACACUGGAACUGAGAUACGGUCCAGACACCUACGGGUGGCAGCAGUUUCGAAUCAUCCACAAUGGACGAAAGUCUGAUGGUGCGACGCCGCGUGGGGGACGAAGGCCUUAGGGUCGUAAACCCCUGUCACCAAGGAGCAAAAACUAGGUUCAUAGCCUAGCUUGAGUUAACUUGGAGAGGAAGCAGUGGCUAACUCUGUGCCAGCCGCCGCAGUAAUAC
rnacentral:rRNA from 1 species